rnacentral:rRNA from 1 species
AUUGAACGCUGGCGGCAGGCCUAACACAUGCAAGUCAAGCGGAUGAAGGGAGCUUGCUCCUGGAUUCAGCGGCGGACGGGUGAGUAAUGCCUAGGAAUCUGCCUGGUAGUGGGGGAUAACGUCCGGAAACGGGCGCUAAUACCGCAUACGUCCUGAGGGAGAAAGUGGGGGAUCUUCGGACCUCACGCUAUCAGAUGAGCCUAGGUCGGAUUAGCUAGUUGGUGGGGUAAAGGCCUACCAAGGCGACGAUCCGUAACUGGUCUGAGAGGAUGAUCAGUCACACUGGAACUGAGACACGGUCCAGACUCCUACGGGAGGCAGCAGUGGGGAAUGUUGGACAAUAGGCGGAAGCCUGAUCCAGCCAUGCCGCGUGUGUGAAGAAGGUCUUCGGAUUGUAAAGCACUUUAAGUUGGGAGGAAAGGCAGUAAGUUAAUACCUUGCUGUUUUGACGUUACCAGCAGAAUAAGCACCGGCUAACUUCGUG